CCUGAAGUAAGGAGAAUAAUUGGAUUCUUUCAGUUCCUGCCUCUAUCAGUUGCUAUUCUGUGCCUCUUCUCUCCCUGCAGUGUGACACAGGAGAUGUGAAUUUGAGUCAUGGCAGAACAUAGGAAAAAAACUGAAGCCAUUGUUGGAGUGAAUGCUCGCUUGCUAAGCUACUGUAUAUCCAGGGGAAGUAUGUGAUACUUCCUCCUCCAUGUGUUCUUGGAAAGAAAGGAUUUAGGUGUGUCAAGCUCUACAAAAAAAGAGUGGCUAAACUAAUUUCUCAGGAGCAGGUUUCAGGGUAAAGUCUGACAAGAGUAGAUUUAAGAUGGAUUUUUCUUCUGCGAUUGCGUACUGAUUAAGUUGAAGCCGCUCCUCCUCAACUUUCUUUGUCUGCUUUGGAUACCAUCUAAGCGUCUCAGUUUUGCUCAAGUCCCCUGCAAGGGUUCAAGACCAGGUUCCUGCUAGUGAAAUAUAGCAAUGCCCAUUAGGUCAUUAGCGAAAUUCUCUACUUUUGUAUGAACCGUGUGAUUUAUGAAGUUGCAUAAGUCAAUACAAGGAAUAGAAAUGCUUUUAGUUAUUUCCUCAGGUUACCCUUUCUCUUGUAUCAAUGGCUAGGCAGUCCAUCAUAACCAUGAAUCUUUGGAUUCAGAAAUGGAACUUAGCUGGAAACGUGUAUGGUUUUGCUUUUAUUUAAGUUGAAUGUCAUCCUUUCUUUAGAGAAGAUGAGAUGAGAAAGGAAAGUACAACUUAUCCACUGUAUUGACAUUUGGGUUUGGGAAGUAUAAAAAUAUGUGAGCUGCACAUACUAUUAAUAUUAAUAAUGUUAAAAAAGAAUUUUCUCACUCGGGCUUUGUGUUAAUCUUACAUGAUUCAACUCCUGGUUGCAUAAUGAAGAUCUUACAUAUUUAAUAAGCGAAUUGAAGUAGGUCCAAAUGAGUGAACAACAUAGUGCUGUAAAGAAGAAACAGGGAUGGGGAAAUUCUUGUCAGAUGAGGUUGCUGGGGAAAAAAAAAA